AUUGAACGCUGGCGGCAGGCCUAACACAUGCAAGUCGAACGGUAACAGGAAGCAGCUUGCUGCUUCGCUGACGAGUGGCGGACGGGUGAGUAAUGUCUGGGAAACUGCCCGAUGGAGGGGGAUAACUACUGGAAACGGUAGCUAAUACCGCAUAACGUCGCAAGACCAAAGAGGGGGACCUUCGGGCCUCUUGCCAUCGGAUGUGCCCAGAUGGGAUUAGCUUGUUGGUGAGGUAACGGCUCACCAAGGCGACGAUCCCUAGCUGGUCUGAGAGGAUGACCAGCCACACUGGAACUGAGACACGGUCCAGACUCCUACGGGAGGCAGCAGUGGGGAAUAUUGCACAAUGGGCGCAAGCCUGAUGCAGCCAUGCCGCGUGUAUGAAGAAGGCCUUCGGGUUGUAUAGUACUUUCAGCGGGGAGGAAGGGGUUAAGGUUAAUAACCUUAGCCAUUGACGUUACCCGCAGAAGAAGCACCGGCUAACUCCGUGCCAGCCGCCGCCGUAAAAC
rnacentral:rRNA from 1 species